AGCGCCCCGAGCCCGGCGGUGCGCGAUGCGGCGGUCGACGGCCGUGGGCAGCGGUCACCGUGCCAGGGCCGGCGACUGUGCUCUGGAAGCACAGGGGGAAGGGAAAAUAAAACUAAACAGGGAGCAGACGGCUCUGGGGCCGCGAGCUCAUAGAGGAAGCUUUGUUGCAGAGGCUCAGGGCGCUAUCUCUUCUCUGCUUGCUUGCCGCUCAGAAAUUGACGUUUCUCUCUCAGCCCGGGAUGCUUUCCCUGUAAAUUCCUUCAAGUGACCACUUUGUUGCUAAGGCUACCCGUCCCCAUCCCAGCACACAAAUCUUCCCCACUCCAGGACCGGCUAGAGCUCCGGGCAGAAGUACUGACUUUAGAAACGCACUUCAAACUCCUGCGAGUGCUUCCGCUAAAUACCUGCUGCACUCUGCGCGGCAAACCGGAGGCUGAGCGGUCCUCCCCCGCCUCCCCCCCCCCCCGCGACAGUUUUGCUGGGACUUCUGCUGAAUAGACGUCUAGGAGAAACCCCGUCCAGUAAAGAUUAAAUUAAGUAGAAGAAAUCCAGCCGGUGUAUAUUUUGAAGCUCCGGUGGGGCGUCAAACCGAUGUUUAACACAUUUUUUCCACUCACUGUGCACUCACUGAGCCCGAACUGCCUCUUAGUCGUCCGUGUGUCCGUCCCCCCCCCUCUCCCCCCCACGCACACACACACACACACACCUCCAAACGGGGACACGGGGCACAGACACUUUCGGGGGGUGGCAGGAGAGAUCUCCCUGACCCCAGACCUCGCCCCGUCCUCGGGGCCACCGGAGGGGCUGCCGCCCCGACGCCACGGGGAGGGGCAGAGGGUCGCCGCUGUAGGGUUUAGGGGCUCCUUCAGAGGGUGGGCGUAGGGAGAUAGAGAGGUCAUACUCAAUGAGAAAGGAGAAUAGCGAUCGUUUCUCAGCAUCAGUGCUUUCCUCCCUCCCUCCCCACCGCCCCGCUCGCCCGUGAGGACGCGGUGGCCGAGGGGAUGCGGGUUUGUACCCGCGGUGCAGAGCCGCGUGAGAGCGCCGAUCCCCGCAGCACCGCCCGAGCGCGGGCCAGGAGAAUCGCCGCAGUGGGAAAGUUGAGCGUGGCUUACUUGGUGAACGUUUGUAAAUGCAAAUAGGAAUGAAUAAAUAAACCUCAAACCAGGUAGUUGGGGUGUAAUAGUUUAGCAGGACUAAUUGCAGACAAUGGAGCUGAAAUGACUUUUCCAAUUAGCUGCUGGUUGGAGUUUAGUUGGAGGAACUGUCAGCUCCUGCGAUGGGUAAUUGCUUUAUUGCUCACAAAACUAUCAUCUAUUUAGAACAUAUGUGCUAAUUACUCUGGAUGGGCGUAGGAAAAAGAGACCAUAAAUCUAUUAGCACUUUAAAAAGUCUCGGGUGCUCGCGAGGGACCGAACUCCUUCCUCGGUGUGCUAAAGGGCGAGAUUCGGUCCUUGCACUUCCGGAAAAUAAAAAUAAAAUUAAAAACAGUCAGCUGGACCCACGUGUUUGCUAAGGUGUAUUUGCGACCUCAGAGGGGAGGAACAGUGGUCACCUCAAAGUGCGGAAAGCCUCUUCCUAUAGCCCGAACCUGUGCCAUAAAUCACUGCCAUAAAAACGAUUUUCCUCUUUAGCCUUGCACUGGUUUGUCUGCCUGUCUUUCUUUCUCUCUUUCUCUCUCUCUCUCUCUCUUUCUUUCUUUCUUUCUUUCUUUCUCUCUUUCUCUCUUUCUUUCUUUCUUUCUUUCUUUCUUUCUCUCUUUCUCUCUUUCUCUCUUUCUCUCUUUCUCUCUCUCUUUCUUUCUUUCUUUCUUUCUUUCUUUCUUUCUUUCUUUCUUUCUUUCUUUCUUUCUUUCUUUCUUUCUUUCUUUCUUUCUUUCUUUCUUUCUUUCUUUCUUUCUUUCUUUCUUUCUUUCUUCCUUUCUUUCUUUCUUUCUUUCUUUCUUUCUUUCUUUCUUUCUUUCUUUCUUCUCCUUCUUCUUCUUCUUCCAAAAAGAUUAGUUUGGAAAUCUUUUAAUUGGAUUACUGUGGAAAAUUAAUCUGCUUUAGGCUCUCUAAGUUUGUGUACCAAAUAUUUGGAAUUAAUUCAGUGUCACAAAAAGCAUCCGGGACGCCUUUUGUUCGAGGUAGCUGAGAAAAGGGACAGCCCACAGGACUGCCAUUGUGAGGAGAUAAACAGAAUUGUUCGCUGGAGUACGCUACACAUCAGGACUCCGGCGCGGGGUGAAAAGACUGGCAAGUGGGGGUAAAGAGUUUUUCCUGCCCAAGUACGAGCCUGGGUCGGGGCUGCUUCCCUCUCUACACCUCCUCUGCGUGCCGUGCGGGGCUCUGCCCUCCCUCCCGUGCACGGCCAGGACCUCCGCUGGAGAUUUUGGCCGCCAGCAGCCGCUCCCGGGGUGGGUGGCUGGUGGGGUAAAGGCGCAGUCACCUGGCGGGGAGCGGUGAGGGCUCGUUGCGCACUGCCCUCUCUUCCCUCUCCCCUCGCCUCUCAUAAGCAGAAAGAUGCCAUCUCGCUGCUAAAAGAGCAAUAAAGCCGUGUUAAUUUAUUUAUUUCUACUUGUUUAUUUUUCCCUGAAGUAAAGGAACUCGCAACUUGUUCUCGGUGAUUUAUAAGCAGGGCAAGGAACCGGCGGCGGGG
ensembl:lncRNA